UACGUAGGCAGCGAGCGUUGUUCGGAGUUACUGGGCGUAAAGGGUGUGUAGGCGGUUGUUUAAGUUUGGGGUGAAAUCUCCCGGCUCAACUGGGAGGGUGCGCCGAAUACUGAAUGACUUCGAGUGCGGGAGAGGAGAGUGGAAUUCCUGGUGUAGCGGUGAAAUGCGUAGAUAUCAGGAGGAACACCGGUGGUGUAGACGGCUCUCUGGACCGUAACUGACGCUGAGACACGAAAGCGUGGGUAGCAAACAGG
rnacentral:rRNA from 1 species